AGUUAAUUAGCUUAAAAAGCAUUUAUUUUGAAAGUAAAAGAAAGAAGAUUCUUCUAUUAGCUU
rnacentral:tRNA from 1 species